GAUGAACGCUGGCGGCGUGCCUAAUACAUGCAAGUCGAGCGAACAGAUGAGGAGCUUGCUCCUCUGACGUUAGCGGCGGACGGGUGAGUAACACGUGGAUAACCUACCUAUAAGACUGGGAUAACUUCGGGAAACCGGAGCUAAUACCGGAUAAUAUAUUGAACCGCAUGGUUCAAUAGUGAAAGACGGUUUUGCUGUCACUUAUAGAUGGAUCCGCGCCGCAUUAGCUAGUUGGUAAGGUAACGGCUUACCAAGGCAACGAUGCGUAGCCGACCUGAGAGGGUGAUAGGCCACACUGGAACGUAGACACGGUCCAGACUCCUACGGGAGGCAGCAGUAGGGAAUCUUCCGCAAUGGGCGAAAGCCUGACGGAGCAACGCCGCGUGAGUGAUGAAGGUCUUCGGAUCGUAAAACUCUGUUAUUAGGGAAGAACAAAUGUGUAAGUAACUAUGCACGUCUUGACGGUACCUAAUCAGAAAGCCACGGCUAACUACGUG
rnacentral:rRNA from 1 species